rnacentral:rRNA from 1 species
AGUGGGAAACGAUGUGGGAAGGCUCAGACAGCUAGGAGGUUGGCUUAGAAGCAGCCAUCCUUUAAAGAAAGCGUAAUAGCUCACUAGUCGAGUCGGCCUGCGCGGAAGAUGUAACGGGGCUCAAACCAUACACCGAAGCUACGGGUAUCAUCUUCGGAUGAUGCGGUAGAGGAGCGUUCUGUAAGCCUGUGAAGGUGAGUUGAGAAGCUUGCUGGAGGUAUCAGAAGUGCGAAUGCUGACAUGAGUAACGACAAAGGGGGUGAAAAACCCCCUCGCCGGAAGACCAAGGUUUCCUGCCCCAUGCUAAUCAGGGCAGGGUUAGUCGGCCCCUAAGGUGAGGCUGAAAAGCGUAAUCGAUGGGAAACGGGUUAAUAUUCCCGUACUUGUUAUAACUGCGAUGGAGGGACGGAGUAGGCUAGGCGAUCGCGGCGUUGGUUGUCCGCGUUUAAGCUAGUAGGCUGAGGACUUAGGCAAAUCCGGGUCCUUAAGGCUGAGAGGUGAUGACGAGCUCUCUUUUGAGUGAAGUCGUUGAUGCCAUGCUUCCAAGAAAAUCUUCUAAGCUUCAGGUUAUAACGAACCGUACCCCAAACCGACACAGGUGGUCAGGUAGAGAAUACCAAGGCGCUUGAGAGAACUCGGGUGAAGGAACUAGGCAAAAUGGUACCGUAACUUCGGGAGAAGGUACGCCGGUUUUGGUGAUGGGACUUGCUCCCUAAGCUGAGGCUGGCCGAAGUGACCAGGUGGCUGCGACUGUUUAUCAAAAACAUAGCACUCUGCAAACACGAAAGUGGACGUAUAGGGUGUGACGCCUGCCCGGUGCCGGAAGGUUAAUUGAUGGGGUUAGCGUAAGCGAAGCUCUUGAUCGAAGCCCCGGUAAACGGCGGCCGUAACAAUAACGGUCCUAAGGUAGCGAAAUUCCUUGUCGGGUAAGUUCCGACCUGCACGAAUGGCGUAACGAUCUCCCCGCUGUCUCAAAUGUGGACUCAGCGAAAUUGAAUUGUCUGUGAAGAUGCAGACUUCCCGCGGUUAGACGGAAAGACCCCAUGCACCUUUACUCCAACUUC